rnacentral:rRNA from 1 species
ACAGAUCUUUAAUAGGCUCGUGAGGCGAAGCGAACGCAACUGCUGUGAUCCUGGUAACAGGCGCAACAGCGAGGUCUCAACAGGCACUCAUAGCGCAUUCACUGGUACCCGAAAGAUGGUGAUCUAUGCCUGAGCAAGACGAAGCCAGAGGAAACUCUGGUGGAGGUCUGUAGCGGUUCUGACGUGCAAAUCGAUCGUCAGACUUGGGUAUAGGGGCGAAAGACUAAUCGAACCAUCUAGUAGCUGGGUUCCUUCCG